ACCUGUCAACAUUUUAAAGACGAAAGUCGGUCUGACCACUUUCUGAUUGGCGCUAGGAGACCUGAAAUUCAAGGUCUGGCAUUUGGAAUUAAACUGUUCAAUUUUCACUGAAGCUAAUGUUCACUUUAAAAACGGAUACACCGGGGGCCAGAAAAUGAACGAAGGGGAUCGGCGGGGUGUGUGUGUGUGGUGGGGUGGGGAAAGAAAUACAUUUUCUGCGUGCCUUUGUCGUCGAAUUUCGCGAUUGUUAAUCGUCGCUAGAUGAAGUUGUUGACUGUCGAGGCUUCACUGAGAUAGUGAUAGGAGAUAAAGCAAACUGGCAAUCAAAAUGCCAUUUCCUGCAGUCAUUUCACUUAGCGGUUAGACAGCCUUCAAAUGCCCUGCGGUUGCUUCCUGUAAAUUAGUCAGAAGCCUGUGAGUGGUGGCAGGGAGGCCAUUCCCCCCAUUCCCCACUCCCGCUUCUCAAACGGAAAUGUCGCAGCGACGACGACGCGAGUUUGCAGGCGAUAACAUCUUUAUAUCUGCGGCGACAUUGCUUAGGGUGCAUUGUAUUUUUGAUGACCCGGCUUCAAUGCCUACGAAUAGUUACCCCGGACGGGGGGUGUACCUGUAAAGACUUUCCUCUAAUACAUCAAAAAUAAAAAUAAAAAACGAACCCCGAGGAUGACUCAAGGACAGAUGGAAUGACGCAGACUUUUAAUUGUUUGUAAUUCUAAUUUAAAGGCUAGGACGGUUGGGAGACGCUGGUUGGUAUUGACAAUCACUGAGAAAGAGAGGCUGAAGCAGUUUACGAGAGGAUUCAAGGGUCUUGGUCUGAUCUUGAAGACAGAACAUCGUGAGAACAAGAAGACAAGAAGACAGCUGUUUACUAACCGCUACAGUCAACAGCAACAACGUCAUCAGCCACUUGCUCUUUUUCAGUUUAAGAGCCAUGAUGGCUGCGGUGACGUCACUAAUCGUCGUUCUGCUGGUUCUGGAGGUCUGGCAAAGUUCGGCAGCACCAGCCCUGAAGCGGAGGAGUCUCUAGUUUCCAACGAACAUGUGGAUCCGAACCGCAGCCAGUCCCGCUUUCGGCGCUCAGCAUCCGUGGAGUCGGCGGCCAAAGAUUCUCAUCUGCGACAAGGGGUCAUCCAGUACAGAGCCAAACGCGUGUGCUGCAACACAGGAGUCCAAAGCCCUACUCUAUCCGUGCGCCCUGGUUGACUGGUUUCCAUAGCAACGACCAUCAUGAUGCUCGCUUUGCCGAUGGGUUACACGCGGAACGGUUGACGCUGUUGUUUACUUUACCACAUUUUGUCAUUUGUUGUCAACUCGGUCAUCGUUAUAAAACAACAUGCAGACGAGUCUGCAAAGACCGGCUUGAAUAAAUUCAAGUAGUUGUUCCCUUGGUUAAAUAUAUACUGAACGUUUCCUGGGUCGGGGGUAGGAUGAGGUGGUGUUUGAAGUGCAAAAAAGAUUGACUCCAUAAUGCUACACAAUCUUAAUAUAUCCAUAGUCUUAUGCAGAAUUUUCUUUCGAGCAAUCUUGAGAUGUUUACAUAUGCAAAUAAAUUAAUAUCCUUAAAGCUUCGAGGCUGAAGGAAGAAAAACAAAAGAAUGUUAAAAGACAAAACAGAAAAAGGAGAAAGUUCAGCUAAAUGUCAGAUCGUCUAUAGAUCGACGUUCAAACAAUCGUGUAAUCCGUGAUAAACUCAGUCCUCACCUUCUGACAUACGCAGCAACAGUAAAAUAUCGUCAAAUUUGUCAAUCAGUAAUCGUCAGCUUUACUCAUAGCUAGCUAACUACUUAGGUUAGUUUAAAAAAGGAGAAGGUAUUUUCAUGAGGCAGAAGUCUUCUUCCCGCGUUCACCUUUUGUCCGCGUGUUUAAUAUUAAUACCGGGGUCUCGAUCAGCUGUCGGCAACAAAGUGUCUGGGGAUAGUAUGAUGGAUAUGUCUGGAUAGCUGGGCUCUAGCCAUGGACAAGAAGGACUGCGGAAACCUCCACAGGUCAGCUGCAUGCACAGACUUCGGAAGUCAGUAAACCCAAGGGGUUCCCCCUUCCUAAUCCCUGGAGGGUGUGGAUAUCUCAGAGCCAACAACAGAAAUCCUGGAAAAUUCAGAUCGAAGCUGAAAUUCAUGACCGGCCUGUAACCCACGUACAGCUCAGCCACCUCCUGAUUCUUGAGUACAGUAAUGCAUGUGCCCGCCAUUUGCACUUAAAACAAUACCAUGGCAACAAGGUCUGUUGCCUUGACGACGAACCAUGUGUUGUUGUACACAGGACAGACUUAACCGACCUGUAAUUCGGUUACAGCCUCGGCAUAUCCAGAUAUUUUAUUAGUGUCGAGACUGGAGGUAACAAAGUACCCAAGAUCCCUCAGCGUCUAGACCUGGUACAUCAUAAGAUGAAUGCACCACGUACUCCCACAAACUUUCAAGUCUUAAAGGACUAAUGAGGAGUAAACUUCUUUUCUAAUAGUUUGACAAAGCCUAAUUAUGAGUGAAUAUCUCGAAACUCGAAAAACACGCCUACAUACAUAGUCAUUCACAGAAAAAAGUUCAGACAACUCAAACAUCUUUUCUAUGGAUAGGUUAAGGUUGUGAAUGCAAUUAGGAGAACUGCUAAUUAGGCAUUUUAUGCCAUCCCAAUUUUGACAUGUUUGUAAGUGUGUAACUAGAUAAUUAAAGUCGGGUAUUCACCCAGGUUAGGGAGAAAAGUAUCCUCCACUGAGCUUUACCCAAUCAUCAGAAAAAUUGCACCCCAUAACCCUUUAUACCCAGGCAGCAGAGUGGGUUUAUCUUACAACAUUACUGACUCCUGGUUGAGUGUUUUUAAUAAAUUCAACCUCGAAACUUAAUUGAUAAAUGUGGUAAAUAUUGGGAACAUUGUAAUAUACUGGUUUGCCCAAUGUACACAAGUAUUUAACAUAGAAAGCAUAUCAACUAGACAUGUAAUCACUGCCUGUAAACGUUUGUCAAUUAAGAAUAUUCAGUAAUGCAAACACUAUUUAAUAUUAUAUCAGACAAGCCUGUCAACAAGAAGUCUAUGUUAUACUUUUUUAAAUUGUCUGAUGUUGAUUUUUGGAUUAAAUUUGGAUUUCAAUGUUGCUUUGUU